AGUGGGGAAUUUUGGACAAUGGGCGAAAGCCUGAUCCAGCAAUGCCGCGUGUGUGAAGAAGGCCUUCGGGUUGUAAAGCACUUUUGUCCGGAAAGAAAUGGCUCUGGUUAAUACCUGGGGUCGAUGACGGUACCGGAAGAAUAAGGACCGGCUAACUACGUGCCAGCAGCCGCGGUAAUACGUAGGGUCCAAGCGUUAAUCGGAAUUACUGGGCGUAAAGCGUGCGCAGGCGGUUGUGCAAGACCGAUGUGAAAUCCCCGAGCUUAACUUGGGAAUUGCAUUGGUGACUGCACGGCUAGAGUGUGUCAGAGGGGGGUAGAAUUCCACGUGUAGCAGUGAAAUGCGUAGAGAUGUGGAGGAAUACCGAUGGCGAAGGCAGCCCCCUGGGAUAACACUGACGCUCAUGCACGAAAGCGUGGGGAGCAAA
rnacentral:rRNA from 1 species